UACGUAGGCAGCAAGCGUUGUUCGGAGUUACUGGGCGUAAAGAGUGCGUAGGCGGUUUUCUAAGUUCGGUGUGAAAUCUCCCGGCUCAACUGGGAGGGUGCGCCGAAGACUGGGGAGCUGGAGUGUGGGAAAGGCAAGCGGAAUUCCUGGUGUAGCGGUGAAAUGCGUAGAUAUCAGGAGGAACACCGGCGGUGUAGACGGCUUGCUAGACCAUGACUGACGCUGAGGCACGAAAGCGUGGGGAG
rnacentral:rRNA from 1 species